rnacentral:rRNA from 1 species
GCGGCGUGCUAACACAUGCAAGUCAAGGAGAACGGAUCCUUCGGGAUACUAGUAAACUGGCGAACGGGUGAGUAACACGUAGGUAAUCUACCCUGGAGAUUGGGAUAACCUCGGGAAACCGGAGCUAAUACCGAAUAAUGCAGCGGAUCCUUCGGGAUAUGUUGUUAAAGCGGGCUUUUGCUCGCACUUUAGGAUGAGCCUGCGUCCGAUUAGCUUGUUGGUGGGGUAAUGGCCUACCAAGGCGAUGAUCGGUAGCUGGUCUGAGAGGACGAUCAGCCACACUGGGAUUGAGAUACGGCCCAGACUCCUACGGGAGGCAGCAGUGGGGAAUUUUGCGCAAUGGGCGAAAGCCUGACGCAGCAACGCCGCGUGAUCGAUGAAGCUUUUCGGAGUGUAAAGAUCUGUCGUGAGGGAAGAAUAACUUGGAUGCAAAUAGUUUUCAAGUCUGACGGUACCUUACAAGAAAGCACCGGCUAACUUCGUGCCAGCAGCCGCGGUAAUACGAGGGGUGCUAGCGUUGUCCGGAAUCAUUGGGCGUAAAGGGUCCGUAGGUGUCUUUGUAAGUCGUUUGUUACAUCCACCGGCUCAACCGGUGGCCUGCAAUCGAAACUGCAAGGAUAGAGUUCGAGAGAGGAAAGUGGAAUUCCUGGUGUAGCGGUGACAUGCGUAGAUAUCAGGAGGAACACCAAUGGCGAAGGCAGCUUUCUGGCUCGAUACUGACACUGAGGGACGAAAGCGUGGGUAGCGAACAGGAUUAGAUACCCUGGUAGUCCACGCCGUAAACGAUGAGUACUUGAUGUCGGAGGAUUCGACCCCUUCGGUAUCGUAGCUAACGCGUUAAGUACUCCGCCUGGGGACUACGG